AUCUGGUUGAUCCUGCCAGUAGUCAUAUGCUUGUCUCAAAGAUUAAGCCAUGCAUGUCUAAGUAUAAGCGAUUGUACUGUGAGACUGCGAACGGCUCAUUAUAUCAGUAAUAAUUUC
rnacentral:rRNA from 14 species